rnacentral:rRNA from 1 species
UGGGGAAUAUUGCACAAUGGGCGCAAGCCUGAUGCAGCCAUGCCGCGUGUAUGAAGAAGGCCUUCGGGUUGUAAAGUACUUUCAGUCGGGAGGAAGGUGGUAAGGUUAAUAACCUUAUCAAUUGACGUUACCGACAGAAGAAGCACCGGCUAACUCCGUGCCAGCAGCCGCGGUAAUACGGAGGGUGCAAGCGUUAAUCGGAAUUACUGGGCGUAAAGCGCACGCAGGCGGUUGAUUGAGUCAGAUGUGAAAUCCCCGGGCUUAACCUGGGAACUGCAUCUGAUACUGGCAAGCUUGAGUCUCGUAGAGGGGGGUAGAAUUCCAGGUGUAGCGGUGAAAUGCGUAGAGAUCUGGAGGAAUACCGGUGGCGAAGGCGGCCCCCUGGACGAAGACUGACGCUCAGGUGCGAAAGCGUGGGGAGCAAACAGG